AUUUUUAUCAAAUCUUUCCAGAAAGCCCUACUCGAAUUUUUUUUAACUUCAGAAAUAAAUUUCCACUUUCAUCUGACGAUAUAUUUAAGUACGAAUUUCAGGUACUUGAGUUUUUUUUUCUAGAAAUAUCCAAUAAGAGGAUGUUGACAGACAACCAGAUUAAUAUACAUAAGGAUGUACAAGUGCGUGUUUGGAAAGGAGACCAAAUUGGAGCAGGCAUGGACACUGGCGGACAAACUUUCAUAUGGAGAACUCAUGAAUUUAGCUCAUCAAAUUUGCAAAAAUAAAAAAUAUAAAAAAAAUAAAAAAAAAUAAAAAAAUAAAAAAAAAAUGAAAUUGUACGCCGGAGGGUAUACGAUAAAGAGAUGAAUGUUGUGUAUGUAGAAGCAAACACUGAUUUGGAAAAAAUUGUUGCGUCUACUGCUACUGUCAAUGCUACUGAUGUUGUUGCUAGUACUGCCAAUGCCGGUGAUGCUGGUGUUGGAAAUGCUGGUGGUGUUGUUGCCCGAUACUUAAUUGAUGUUCUAUUAUAACCUAUUUAAGUUUGAAUUAUCGUAAGACCUUAUUUAAAUUUAAGUUUAAUAUUCCAAGACUUAUGGUUUACAAGUUAAGACAUUUUAUGUUUAAAGCUAUCUGGGUAAUUCCUAUAGUUUUAAUUUAACUAUGGUAAAAUGGUUUAUGAACUUAAUGCAUUUAUAGUUUUAAUUAUAA